rnacentral:rRNA from 1 species
GACGAACGCUGGCGGCGUGCUUAACACAUGCGAGUCGAACGGAAAGGCCCUGCUUGCAGGGUACUCGAGUGGCGAACGGGUGAGUAACACGUGGGUGAUCUGCCCUGCACUUCGGGAUAAGCCUGGGAAACUGGGUCUAAUACCAGAUAGGAGCCAUUUUUAGUGUGAUGGUUGGAAAGUUUUUUCGGUGUAGGAUGAGCUCGCGGCCUAUCAGCUUGUUGGUGGGGUAAUGGCCUACCAAGGCGGCGACGGGUAGCCGGCCUGAGAGGGUGGACGGCCACAUUGGGACUGAGAUACGGCCCAGACUCCUACGGGAGGCAGCAGUGGGGAAUAUUGCACAAUGGGCGCAAGCCUGAUGCAGCGACGCCGCGUGGGGGAUGACGGCCUUCGGGUUGUAAACUCCUUUCGCUAGGGACGAAGCUUUUGUGACGGUACCUAGAUAAGAAGCACCGGCUAACUACGUG